rnacentral:rRNA from 1 species
AACGAACGCUGGCGGCAUGCCUAACACAUGCAAGUCGAACGAGACCUUCGGGUCUAGUGGCGCACGGGUGCGUAACGCGUGGGAACCUGCCCUUAGGUUCGGAAUAACUCCCCGAAAGGGGUGCUAAUACCGGAUAAUGUCUUCGGACCAAAGAUUUAUCGCCUUUGGAUGGGCCCGCGUUGGAUUAGCUAGUUGGUAGGGUAAAAGCCUACCAAGGCGACGAUCCAUAGCUGGUCUGAGAGGAUGAUCAGCCACACUGGGACUGAGACACGGCCCAGACUCCUACGGGAGGGAGCAGUGGGGAAUAUUGGAAAAUGGGCGAAAGGCUGAUCCAGCAAUGACGCGUGAGUGAUGAAGGCCGUAGGGUUGUAAAGCUCUUUUACCCGGGAUGAUAAUGACAGUACCGGGAGAAUAAGCCCCGGCUAACUCCGUG